UAUAUUUAGCAUGUUUUUAUGCAUGGUUAUGAGAUGAACUUGUCCUGAUUUCACAUUGGACAUGGGGUGCUCAAUUAUGUUAGUGCCAAUGCCAGCUUUGUCUUAGAAGCAUUCAUUUUUUUUCUAAUUACAGUUCAGUAUUCUUCCUAACUUACGUGUUCCAAAUAGAUCAACCUAUUCUGCUGUGAAUUUAUCCUUUUUAAAUUUUGCACCAAAAAUUAGAGGAUGAUGACUUAGAGAAAAAUGAUUGCCUUCUGUUUAAAUGAUGCACAGCCUGACCAUUAUUGUUGAGUCCAUAGUAUGGCCACACGACAGAUUGAUGGCGAUGGAGGGACCCGUUUCAUUUUGCCAUGGACGCCUGCAAUUGCUUUCCAAACUCUAUCCUGCUGGCUUUUGGAAGAGCAGAGAUCUUGGAGUUGUUUUGCAGAAGUAUGAAUCCUCACUAUGUAGCAAAGUGUCGUGUUGCAGCCGCAGCCUACUCGAUCCACUCUCUCGGGCAUAUGAGAAGAGCCAGCAAACUUGUGUGCUACUGCAUUAUAUGUGGUCAUUACUUCGAUGGUGGAAAACAAAAAUUUAUCACAUUUAAAGAAUUAACCGGAAUUCGAGUAGAAGCCUGGCAAUAACGGCAAGCAGGAGAUGGUCACACUCUAGACCAAGCCAGUGUUGAAGAUGCAAUCCUUCCUCUUCCAAAUCUCCAAACACAUGAAAAUAAAAGGAAACAUGGUACAGCACACUCAAUGGUGUCAUUGACCUUGCGAUUCAUAGGGACCUCACCACUAUAAGGCUAUUAAUAAAAGAGAUGGUGCUCCGCAUGAAUUUUUGAAGCUCCAUGGUCAUCAUGGCUUAUUUCAGAUUGAAUGAGGAUGGCGACAACUUGUCUGGUGUAAGGCCUGCUGGACAAACUUCUUUUCAUGCUAGAAGAGCGGUUGCUAAGGGACUACCAUUCCUAGAACUGCAAUUAUCACGUUUGUUUUUUUGUUGUUUCCGUUUCAACGCAUGGGUAUAAUCCUAGGCAGUGCUGAUGGAGUUGAUUGUAUUGUCAAAAUAGAGCUAAGAGAGUGUGUGCAUCUGACAAACCACUUUGGGCUAUUUAUUGUUGCUCUAUCUUAAUUUGUAAGUUUGGUUAACCGUGAGAAUUUAAUUAUUUUUUACAAUAUCAGCCAUGAGCCUAAAGUUUUAGAGAUAUUUUCAAUGACUACUUGAUGAUUCUUUUUCUUUUCCUAUUCAUGGUUUCAUUUUUUUUAUUUCUGUAUAUUUAGAUUGCAAUAUGAACAAGGGAAUUAUGUCAUAUAUGGAGGAACUCGAAUUAUGAACUUAUGUCAUGUGAUUCCUGUUCAUUGUUCCAGAGUAGAGAGCUAGGAUCAGCACCCUUGUAGUUGUAUAUGUUUAUGCCUUUCUUCUAUUCUUUUCCUCACAUUUACUAAAUACUAUUGUUCUUCCCACAUUUUCUUGACCUUUUAGGAUUAUUUAUUUAUUUAUUUAUUUAUUUAUUAGUAUUCAGUAACAUGACCCCCUUGCAAUUUAGCUGUGAUAAUGAACCUUUAACUUUUAUUGGAUUACAUGUUCAAGAAAUUGAAAAAUAUUACAAAAUUAUCAAGUUAAUUUCAUGUUCACCCGUCACCACCUAUCCAGUUCAUGCCUUCUAUUUAGAUCUUUUAUUAGGUUUGUUGUUAUUUUUUUGUUAUGUCAUGUAUGCAAUGGAAUUGCUGAAAAUUCCUUGACAUAGCAUUGUUCUACAGGAUGCCCUUGCUAUAUAAUCUCAUGUUUGUUUCUUUGUGAUUGUUGAUGGCAGAAGAUAAGAAGCACUCAGAUCAUGCUUUUUAUUUUCCUAUACAAUAGUUGAAACUAAUUUUGUUUAAUAUUUCUCUAUUAUAUGUUAUGGAGCUAUCAUUUGUAUUUAAGAAAACAAAAAUACCAGUAUAUUGGUGUAUAUUCUCUCUUAUGUUCCUGUUAGUUGUAUAGAAUGUGAACUAUAAAAUAGAGACAAGGAAUCCUCAACAUACUCAGGUAAAAAUCUAUUUAUGGGAUGAUAGUAUGUGUGAAGUCAUUUGUAUUCAAACAACAUUGGAAUUCGAAUUUAUAGUCAUCAGAGCUUUGAAUUUGAUUUUACGAACUUUGUCUUUUGGAUUAAAUGUCACUUUAACAUCGGUAUUUAAUUUCGUAGUAUUAUUAUUUUAUCGUGUGAUCCGUGUGUCUUUUGCUUAAAAUUUUAGUUAUCCCGUAGCAACGCACGGGCAUACUACCUAGUCUUUUAAAAAAAAAGAGGUCAUGCCCCCACAACGCAAGGAGCUAAUUUUGGUAGACCAUUCACACAGGUUUUGCACGCGCUUCAACCUGGUCCUGUGAGGCGAGGGCAAGUGAGUGCAUGCGACUUCCUUUCUCCUUCUUUCACUAGAAAUGAGAAAGUGGAGAAGACUUCUAUAUUUAAGCAUGUCUACUUCCACUUCUACAAGCAAAGACGAAACUUGCAGAACUAGACAGUGAUCCUCCAAGGCUCCAAUUCAGAGCUGGGCGAAUGGAGACUUACCGGUGAAAGGGCAUCAGGCGCAGGCGGCGUGUUCCUCCAUAGGCUCCAUGCUCAGAUUAGGAAUUUGAAACAUGGUGUAAAGAGUUGGAGACUCGGAGCGCAUAUACCGUAUGGGUUCACUUGUUGAGUAGACCUCGUUACAUGGGCCUCCCGUCAUCAUGUGAUGGUGUCUAAGUAUGUUUUUUCAUUUUUAUUUUUUACAAAUACAGCAUAUACACUAUAUUAUAUAGUAUAUAUAUAUAUUACUUGCCGCCAGUUUUGCAGGGUAUGCCAGUGCAUACCCGGCAUACCCUGUGGCUAUACCA